AUGAUCGAGCUGACAAAGAACGAGCAGAGCCAAGAAAACCAUGACAGCGUGGGCCGCGUGGUGUACGCGCAGCCGGUGCCGCUCUGGGAUGUCGCCACCGGCAAGCUCGCAACAUUCAACACCACCUUCUCCUUCCAAAUCAAGCCUGAGGACGGUGCAGUUACUGGCGACGGCAUGGCUUUCUUCAUGGGCCACUACCCAGCGACAAGCAUCCCGAACCCCAUUGAGAAUGGCAGGAACCUCGGCCUCUUCACCAACAACAGCAACAUGAAUGCCACCGGCAACGACCGGAUCAUGGCGGUUGAGCUGGACACCUAUUUGAAUCAAGGCAUAGACACCAGCAACAGCCACAUCGGCAUCGACGUCAACUCCAUAAUCUCGCGGGUGUACACCAAUGUGAUGGUGCCCGGCAAGAACCUGACGUCUGGUCUCCCUAUGACCUGCCAGGUUAGCUACGACAAUAACACACAAGUCUUAACCGCCACUCUGAAGAUCGGUGACGUGGCCUACCACGUCGACACCAGUGCCGACCUGAGGCAGCUCUUGCCUAGUGUCGUUGCCAUAGGCUUCUCUGCUGCAACCGGGGCAGCCGUCGAGCUACACCGGAUACUGUCUUGGUCAUUUGACUCCAGCUUAGAUGUGUCUCCACCACCCGAGCCUCAACCACCUGCUGCUACUAAACCUAAGAGCCACUCAAAGCUCCCCUGGCCCUCGAUAGUAGCUAUUAUUAUUUCUUGUGGCUGUGUAGUACUAUUAGCUUCUGGGUUGGUCGUGGUCUUCUGUUGCUGCCGGCACACACGAAAUAACGACCUAGAUGAGGCUCCCCCUAGAGCUGGUGUCCCCAUGCAGAUGCAGAUGCAGAUGCAGGACGUGGUACUACUACUAGUGGACCCGGUAAACAACUUGGCUAGCAUCGCCAGAAGUUUCCAGUAUGAUGAGCUUGUCGAAGCGACAAACAACUUUGCUGAGGAUACGAUGCUGGGAAGAGGGGGCUCUGCGUCUGUGUAUCGGGGCCGGUUGACUAAUCCAGACAAACUGGUGGCGAUAUAG
rnacentral:rRNA from 1 species